rnacentral:rRNA from 1 species
AUGGACAGAAACUUGGAUGCGUACUUCUUGACUUCCAGUUGGAUACGUACUUGUAUAGGUAUUGCCGUAUUGCUGCGGUGCCGGAUGCCGGAUGGCCGGGCUGGCGCCUGCCUGCCGGACUGCUGUGUGGCGGCGACGACGAGCCGGCGAGGCGAGGGUGACACGGCAAGGGCCAAGGGGCAAAGAGCCAAGCGAGCGAGAAGGCCGACGGGCUAUAUAGUACAUGCAUAUACUCCAUCAUGUGCACCCCCCCCCUCGCCUGGGCCCUGGGUCGUCGCCCCGUCGCCCAUGCCCCAGGGCCGGCCCAUGGCGGACAGCGGCAUCGGGUUUUCUCUGCAGCGUCUGGAUCUCGUGGUGGGGAGGCGGGCUCGCCUCCUGUUCGGCGGCGCGGCCCCGAGAGGCUACGUGGAGCUCUGGCCGGCGGCGGGGUGGCAGCCCCUCGGCCCAGGCUUUCUUUGUGAUUUGUGGCGUUCAAUUCAGGGAGAGAGCCCUUCAAGAUACAUCAACCACCUCAAGCCCGCCCGCCUCGGUGACUGCAUCGAGGCCAAGGCGAACCCCAUCCGGUACCUCGACCCCGACGCGUACUUGGAUAAGGACCAGCUGCUGGACGCAGUGCAUUGGAUCCGGCAGGCGGUGGGGCUCGCCUGCGGCCUGCUCUGGGGCGUCGCCCCCCUCGUCGGCGCCUUCUGGAUUGCCCUGUCAGUCCCUCCCUCCCUCCAUCCUCAAAGCCCCAACCUUCUUCUUUCCCUUCAGACAUAG